rnacentral:rRNA from 1 species
UACGAAGGGGGCUAGCGUUGCUCGGAAUCACUGGGCGUAAAGCGCACGUAGGCGGAUCUUUAAGUCAGGGGUGAAAUCCCAAGGCUCAACCUUGGAACUGCCUUUGAUACUGGGGAUCUCGAGUCCGGAAGAGGUUGGUGGAACUGCGAGUGUAGAGGUGAAAUUCGUAGAUAUUCGCAAGAACACCAGUGGCGAAGGCGGCCAACUGGUCCGGUACUGACGCUGAGGUGCGAAAGCGUGGGGAGCAAAUAGG